ensembl:ncRNA ZK867.7 ncRNA
AACCUAAUUAUGGUGAGAGGAACUGAACGUGUCCUUGUUUCUCGAACAUACACACGCGUUGCUCUCGGCUUCAUACGUGAAUAGGUUAAUGUGAACCCUUCGAGAACAGGUGACUUUCACCUGCUG